rnacentral:lncRNA from 1 species
GUAGAAGUAAUGCCUAGCGUCGUGCACAAGACUCAAAAGACUUGGAUGGUCACCCAAGCAUUUAGGUAAAGCAGAGUGAGGGCAGUGUUCUGAAAGUCGUCAACGGGAAUCCUAUGAAUUGAUUGUUAAAAAAGCAAGCAUACAUAAAAAAGAAGUCUAGUUUAGAAUUCUUCUAAUUGUAGCAUACAUCCUUGUUUCCUUUACAGAUUCAAAUAUUCACAACAUAGUCAUCAAUAUCAUCACCAAGUAUA